GACGAACCGUCCUAACGUUGUUCGGAAUCACUGGGCUUAAAGGGCGCGUAGGCGGCUUGCCAAGUCAGGGGUGAAAUCCUGCAGCUUAACUGUAGAAGGGCCUUUGAUACUGGCGAGCUCGAGGGAGGUAGGGGUAUGUGGAACUUCCGGUGGAGCGGUGAAAUGCGUUGAUAUCGGAAGGAACGCCGGUGGCGAAAGCGACGUACUGGACCUCUUCUGACGCUGAGGCGCGAAAGCGUAGGGAGCAAACGGG
rnacentral:rRNA from 1 species